UAGCCUUGGCAAAGCUGGAAUGACUUCAACAGUACAGCCAUUGGUCUUGACUCCUGGUAGAUUGUCCAGAAGGCAAUCACUGAAUACUCCAAAAACUGAGGUAUGGUAACCAUUGAUAGUGAUCUGUCCAGUGGUUUGAGGAACACCAACAAGAGUUACUGGAUACAAACCAGAUUCUGCAGGUAGAGAAAGGGCUGCAGGAAGAGAUUCGAAUUCUACUCCUGUUGUCAAGAGACCCAUGUUUUCUACUCGGAGCUCAAAAGGCAUAGGGUUGUACACCAUCAACUGAACUUCACACACAUCUCCCUGGACCCACUGGAAGUCUAUUUUCUUAGUUCGCUCUUCC
rnacentral:lncRNA from 1 species